GAAAACUGAAUUCAAUAAUUAUUUCAUGCUUUUCGGCUAUUUGAUAAAGUGACAAAGUGCUAGCUAGCUGAAAAUUAAUUGCAAUUUUAAUGUGAGAGGUUAAUUGAGAUAUUGGCUAAAAUAUAGAAGAAAAGAGUCCGGCUAUGGUGCAUGCAAAAGUACCAAGCACUUGGUGCUUGUAAGUUUUUUGCUGUAAGAUUUACCUCUUUGACCAUUUUCAUAUGUUAAAUCAUACUAUUACACUAACCACCCACUAAACCUUAUAUAGUAGCCCUAGCCUCUAUAUAUAUAUAUAUAUAGAGAGAGAGAGAGAGAGAGAGAGAGAGAGAGAGAGAGUUGAGCUAGAAUAUACCUAAAAGCAUGCACCAAGAUAUUGGUGCUUUUAGAUAGUGUUUGGAUUGGGUAUAAGGAGGGGAAUAAGGCCUUAUUCCCCUCCUUAUAUCUAAACACAAAUUUUUUUUCGUGCGAACAAUAGUUCCCACUUUAAUAGAUUAUCCCACUUUAACAAUAGUUCCCACUUUGGUAGGAUAACUUGUUAAAGUGGAAACUAUUGUUCCCACCCCUUAGGUGGAACAAGCUUGUUCCUGGAACAAACUUUGAGGAGAGAGGAAUAAGGUUGUUCCAGGAACAAGCUUCAGGGCGAGAGAGAAAGAGAGAGAGAAUUUUAAAUAUGUAAUUUUAAAUUUAUUACUAAAUUUAUAGUUUUAAUUUCAAAACUAAAAUUUAUAAUUUUUUAAAUUCCAAAUUUCAAAUUUUAGAUUCUAAAAUUUUCAAAUUUAAAAUAUGAUAUUUUAUAUUUUUUAAAUUUAAAAUUUGAUAUUUUCUAAUUUUUAAAUUUAAAUUUGAUCUUAAAUUUAAAAUUUAAAAUUUUAAAAUUUAUAAUUUGAGAUUUUAAAUUUUAUAUUUUAAAUUUAAAUAUUGAAAUUUAAAGAUUAAAAUUUAAAAAUUAAAAUAUAAAAUUUAAAAAUUUAAAUUCAAAUUUAAUGAGAGGAGUAAUAUCAUAAUUUUUUAUUUAUAACUACCAACUAUUUUGUUUUAUUCCAUUUUAUUUAUCCAAACAUUGUUUAAUUUUCUUAUUCCCGAUAACAACCCAAUUUUCAUAUAAACGCAAAAUUGGUCUAAUUCUUGCUUAUAUCUGAACUUGUAUCUAUCCCUGAAAUAAACUGUUCUUACUUAUACUCGAACCAAAUGAAGCCUUAGGUUUCUAGUCCUUGGAUCUAGCCCUUGUCUAUUAUUACCUUUCGGAUCAAUUACUAUUCAACCUACCACCACCUACCCCCACUAACCCGAAGUGACCUACUAUAUAUCAUCCUAGCCCUAUAUCAUGACCUCUAUCCUAUGCUUUUAAAAGUACCCGGUUACUGGUGCUUGUAGAUUUUCAGCCUUUGGAUGAAAAUUUGUAGGGAUAGAAUAAUAGUAGUCCCCUAAGGUUUAAUAGGUGGUUGGUGGAAUAACAUGAUCUAAGGGGUAAAAUUGAUUAAAAAAAAAAAUCUAACGGUGGGAAACUUGCAAGCACCAAUUGCUUGAUGCUUUUAAAAGCACUAUAGCUGGAUUAUAUAUGUAUAGAGUUAGGCUGGUAUGCUUUUAGAACAGAGGCCCUCCGUACUUUCAAGUCCAUUUUGAUGUUGGGACAUCCGAAUGUAAUACAUGAGAAUUUAAAUUUGGAAUUUGAAUAUGAUUUCGAAUAUAUAUAACUUAUAUAUGUGUAUAUAUAUGUGAAUGGAUUGAGAGAUGAUUGGAUUGCGAAUCGGGAACCGAUUCUGGCGAAACAAAAUCGAAGGUUUGAAAGUCAAGCAGUGCCGGAAGUACUGGCACGAUCUGUUCAUAAAUCUGACGAACCGAUCGUCCGGA
rnacentral:lncRNA from 1 species